CUGAUGAGAGUGGCGCACGGGUGAGUAACGCGUAUGCAACCUGCCUAUAACUGGAGAAUAGCCCCCGGAAACGGGGAUUAAUGUUCCAUAAUGUUCAGAGAUCGCAUGGUUUUUGGACUAAAGCUCCGGCGGUUAUAGAUGGGCAUGCGUGCCAUUAGCUAGUUGGUGAGGUAACGGCUCACCAAGGCUACGAUGGUUAGGGGGUCUUAAAGGAUGAUCCCCCACACUGGUACUGAGACACGGACCAGACUCCUACGGGAGGCAGCAGUGAGGAAUAUUGGUCAAUGGGCGCAUGCCUGAACCAGCCAAGCCGCGUGAAGGAUGACGGCCCUAUGGGUUGUAAACUUCUUUUGUAUGGGAAGAACUCCCCGACGUGUCGGGGGCUGACUGUACUAUACGAAUAAGCAUCGGCUAACUCCGUGCCAGCAGCCGCGGUAAUACGGAGGAUGCAAGCGUUAUCCGGAUUCAUUAGGUAUAAAGGGUGCGUAGGCGGAUUAAUAAGUCAGUGGCGAAAUACUACAGCUCAACUGUAGAACUGCCAUUGAUACUGUUAGUCUUGAGUACAAUUGAGGUAGGCGGAAUGUGUGGUGUAGCGGUGAAAUGCUUAGAUAUCACACAGAACACCGAUUGCGAAGGCAGCUUACUAAACCGUAACUGACGCUGAUGCACGAAAGCAUGGGGAGCAAACAGGAUUAGAUACCCUGGUAGUCCAUGCUGUAAACGAUGAUCACUCGCUGUAUGUCCAUUANGAUAUGUGGCUGAGCUAACGCAUUAAGUGAUCCACCUGGGGAGUACGGCGGCAACGCUGAAACUCAAAGGAAUUGACGGGGGCCCGCACAAGCGGAGGAACAUGUGGUUUAAUU
rnacentral:rRNA from 1 species